GCCUAAUACAUGCAAGUAGAACGCUGAAGAGAGGAGCUUGCUCUUCUUGGAUGAGUUGCGAACGGGUGAGUAACGCGUAGGUAACCUGCCUUGUAGCGGGGGAUAACUAUUGGAAACGAUAGCUAAUACCGCAUAACAAUGGAUGACACAUGUCAUUUAUUUGAAAGGGGCAAUUGCUCCACUACAAGAUGGACCUGCGUUGUAUUAGCUAGUAGGUGAGGUAAUGGCUCACCUAGGCGACGAUACAUAGCCGACCUGAGAGGGUGAUCGGCCACACUGGGACUGAGACACGGCCCAGACUCCUACGGGAGGCAGCAGUAGGGAAUCUUCGGCAAUGGGGGCAACCCUGACCGAGCAACGCCGCGUGAGUGAAGAAGGUUUUCGGAUCGUAAAGCUCUGUUGUAAGUCAAGAACGGGUGUGAGAGUGGAAAGUUCACACUGUGACGGUAGCUUACCAGAAAGGGACGGCUAACUACGUGCCAGCAGCCGCGGUAAUACGUAGGUCCCGAGCGUUGUCCGGAUUUAUUGGGCGUAAAGCGAGCGCAGGCGGUUUGAUAAGUCUGAAGUUAAAGGCUGUGGCUCAACCAUAGUUCGCUUUGGAAACUGUCAAACUUGAGUGCAGAAGGGGAGAGUGGAAUUCCAUGUGUAGCGGUGAAAUGCGUAGAUAUAUGGAGGAACACCGGUGGCGAAAGCGGCUCUCUGGUCUGUAACUGACGCUGAGGCUCGAAAGCGUGGGGAGCGAACAGGAUUAGAUACCCUGGUAGUCCACGCCGUAAACGAUGAGUGCUAGGUGUUGGAUCCUUUCCGGGAUUCAGUGCCGCAGCUAACGCAUUAAGCACUCCGCCUGGGGAGUACGACCGCAAGGUUGAAACUCAAAGGAAUUGACGGGGGCCCGCACAAGCGGUGGAGCAUGUGGUUUAAUUCGAAGCAACGCGAAGAACCUUACCAGGUCUUGACAUCCCGAUGCUAUUUCUAGAGAUAGAAAGUUACUUCGGUACAUCGGUGACAGGUGGUGCAUGGUUGUCGUCAGCUCGUGUCGUGAGAUGUUGGGUUAAGUCCCGCAACGAGCGCAACCCCUAUUGUUAGUUGCCAUCAUUCAGUUGGGCACUCUAGCGAGACUGCCGGUAAUAAACCGGAGGAAGGUGGGGAUGACGUCAAAUCAUCAUGCCCCUUAUGACCUGGGCUACACACGUGCUACAAUGGUUGGUACAACGAGUUGCGAGUCGGUGACGGCGAGCUAAUCUCUUAAAGCCAAUCUCAGUUCGGAUUGUAGGCUGCAACUCGCCUACAUGAAGUCGGAAUCGCUAGUAAUCGCGGAUCAGCACGCCGCGGUGAAUACGUUCCCGGGCCUUGUACACACCGCCCGUCACACCACGAGAGUUUGUAACACCCGAAGUCGGUGAGGUAACCUUUUGGAGCCAGCCGCCUAAGGUGGGACAGAUGAUUGGGGUGAAGUCGA
rnacentral:rRNA from 1 species